UACGGAGGGUGCAAGCGUUAUCCGGAUUUACUGGGUUUAAAGGGUGUGUAGGCGGACUAUUAAGUCAGUGGUGAAAUCCCGAGGCUCAACCUCGGAACUGCCUUUGAUACUAUUAGUCUUGAAUGUUGUUGAGGUGGGCGGAACGGGUCAUGUAGCGGUGAAAUGCAUAGAUAUGACCCGGAACACCGAUUGCGAAGGCAGCCCGCUAAGCAACUAUUGACGCUGAGGCACGAAAGCGUGGGGAUCAACAGG
rnacentral:rRNA from 1 species